UACGAAGGGGACUAGCGUUGUUCGGAAUUACUGGGCGUAAAGCGCACUAGGCGGAUUUGUAAGUCAGGGGUGAAAUCCCGGGGCUCAACCUCGGAACUGCCUUUGAUACUGCAAAUCUCGAGUCCGAUAGAGGUGGGUGGAAUUCCUAGUGUAGAGGUGAAAAUUCGUAGAUAUUAGGAAGAACACCGGUGGCGAAGGCGGCCCACUGGAUCGGUACUGACGCUGAGGUGCGAAAAGCGUGGGGGAGC
rnacentral:rRNA from 1 species